rnacentral:rRNA from 1 species
UACGUAGGGUGCGAGCGUUAAUCGGAAUUACUGGGCGUAAAGCGUGCGCAGGCGGUUUUGUAAGCCAGAUGUGAAAGCCCCGGGCUUAAACUGGGAAUGGCAUUUGGGACUGCAAGGCUAGAGUGCGGCAGAGGAGACUGGAAUUCCUGGUGUAGCAGUGAAAUGCGUAGAUAUCAGGAGGAAUACCGAUGGCGAAGGCAGGUCUCUGGGCUGACACUGACGCUCAUGCACGAAAGCGUGGGGAGCAAACAGG